rnacentral:rRNA from 1 species
UACGUAGGUGGCAAGCGUUGUCCGGAUUUACUGGGCGUAAAGAGCGCGCAGGCGGUCGUUCAAGUCGCGUGUGAAAGCCCCCGGCUCAACUGGGGAGGGUCACGCGAUACUGAUCGACUCGAAGGCAGGAGAGGGAAGUGGAAUUCCCGGUGUAGUGGUGAAAUGCGUAGAGAUCGGUAGGAACACCAGUGGCGAAGGCGGUCUCCUGGGGCAUUCGUUGACGCUGAGACGCGAAAGCUGGGGGAGCGAACGGG